rnacentral:tRNA from 1 species
GAGAGUGUAGUUCAAUAGUAAAACAUGUGUUUAGCAUGCAUACGGCCCUGGGUUCAAUCCUCAGCACCA